CAUGGCUCAGGACGAACGCUGGCGGCGUGCCUAAUACAUGCAAGUCGAGCGAACAGAGAAGGAGCUUGCUCCUUUGACGUUAGCGGCGGACGGGUGAGUAACACGUGGGCAACCUACCUUAUAGUUUGGGAUAACUCCGGGAAACCGGGGCUAAUACCGAAUAAUCUAUUUUACUUCAUGGUGAAAUACUGAAAGACGGUUUCGGCUGUCGCUAUAAGAUGGGCCCGCGGCGCAUUAGCUAGUUGGUGAGGUAACGGCUCACCAAGGCGACGAUGCGUAGCCGACCUGAGAGGGUGAUCGGCCACACUGGGACUGAGACACGGCCCAGACUCCUACGGGAGGCAGCAGUAGGGAAUCUUCCACAAUGGGCGAAAGCCUGAUGGAGCAACGCCGCGUGAGUGAAGAAGGUUUUCGGAUCGUAAAACUCUGUUGUAAGGGAAGAACAAGUACAGUAGUAACUGGCUGUACCUUGACGGUACCUUAUUAGAAAGCCACGGCUAACUACG
rnacentral:rRNA from 1 species